UGGGUUGUGGCCCAGUGGUAGAGUGCUCAUCUCACACGUGUGAAGCACUGGGUUUAAUUCUCAGCACCACAU
rnacentral:tRNA from 1 species